rnacentral:rRNA from 1 species
UGAGAGGAUGACCCCCCACACUGGUACUGAGACACGGACCAGACUCCUACGGGAGGCAGCAGUAAGGAAUAUUGGUCAAUGGGCGCAAGCCUGAACCAGCCAUGCCGCGUGCAGGAAGACGGCCCUACGGGUUGUAAACUGCUUUUGCAGGGGAAUAAACCUCAUUACGUGUAAUGAGCUGAAUGUACUCUGAGAAUAAGGAUCGGCUAACUCCGUGCCAGCAGCCGCGGUAAUACGGAGGAUCCAAGCGUUAUCCGGAUUUAUUGGGUUUAAAGGGUGCGUAGGCGGCCUAUUAAGUCAGGGGUGAAAGACGGUAGCUUAACUAUCGCAGUGCCUUUGAUACUGAUGGGCUUGAAUACACUAGAGGUAGGCGGAAUGUGACAAGUAGCGGUGAAAUGCAUAGAUAUGUCACAGAACACCAAUUGCGAAGGCAGCUUACUAUGGUGUGAUUGACGCUGAGGCACGAAAGCGUGGGGAUCAAACAGGAUUAGAUACCCUGGUAGUCCACGCCCUAAACGAUGAACACUCGAUGUUAGCGAUAUACAGUUAGCGUCUAAGCGAAAGCGUUAAGUGUUCCACCUGGGGAGUACGCCCGCAAGGGUGAAACUCAAAGGAAUUGACGGGGGCCCGCACAAGCGGAGGAGAAUGUGGUUUAAUUCGAUGAUACGCGAGGAACCUUAACCGGGCUUGAAAGUUAGUGAAUGAUUCAGAGACGGAUCAGUCCUUCGGGACACGAAACUAGGUGCUGCAUGGCUGUCGUCAGCUCGUGCCGUGAGGUGUUGGGUUAAGUCCCGCAACGAGCGCAACCCCUAUGUUUAGUUGCCAGCACGUUAAGGUGGGGACUCUAAACAGACUGCCUAUGCAAAUAGAGAGGAAGGAGGGGACGACGUCAAGUCAUCAUGGCCCUUACGUCCGGGGCUACACACGUGCUACAAUGGACAGUACAGAGGGCAGCUACCUGGCAACAGGAUGCCAAUCUCACAAAGCUGUUCACAGUUCGGAUCGGGGUCUGCAACUCGACCCCGUGAAGUUGGAUUCGCUAGUAUCGCGUAUCAGCAAUGACGCGGUGAAUACGUUCCCGGGCCUUGUACACACCGCCCGUCAAGCCAUGGAAGCUGGAAGUACCUGAAGUGCGUAACCGCAAGGAGCGUCCUAGGGUAAAGUCGGUAACUGGGGCUAAGUCGAAACAAGGUAGCCGUACCGGAAGGUGCGGCUG